rnacentral:misc_RNA from 1 species
UGCCUCUACUGUGAAUUUUUUUCACAAAAUUAGCAAAAUGACUGAAAUCAACGCUGAAGCAAGAAUUUAACUGAUAUGCAAUAUCUCUAACACAAUCAAUGCCUGAAGGUUCAUUUUAUUAACUAAUGAAACAUGACUUAGAAAGAGCUGAAGGGUUGUGAAAAGAUUAAAACAUGAAAGUAUGCUGACAUGAACUAUUGAGUUAGUGGCUGUUAUGGCCAUUACUUGCAACACAGCAGAUGUUUG